CAGCUUUCUUUCUCUCUUUAAAACUCUUGCCCUAAAAUUCUUUCUGCCUUCUGUCUAGAUUUUCUCUUCACUGAACCGAUCAAAUUUUGAUUUGAAAGUGUUUUUGCGCUCGCUGCAUCAAGGGCUUCAGUUUGAACCGAACGUUUUUCCAUUUCGACCAGUAAGUGUUUUUUUCCCUUUUCUUCAACCGUUCUUGAACCUAAGCCAUGCAACUUGCUGGUUGCCUGGUAGCUUUUCCUUUAGUUUCUCUGUCCCUUCCAACUCUAAGAAAUGUGCUCUGCACCAAUUUUUGGUGGCUUAUAAGUGCUGUCAAACUCGCCUCUGUGAGGAGGUACUGCUAGAGCGUUCCUAGGAGUGGUACUGUUAAGCUUUCCAGAGGAAGAUGAGGUUUCUUUGGAGGCAACAUUGGAGAGAAAUGAAGAUGAUGCUGCAGCUUAGACUCACUAGGAAUUCUUAGUUCUCUUAUGUCAUUUUGAAGAACCUUGUUAUGUUUUAAGUUUCAAAUUUUGGACAUAUUUUGGAAUACUCUAAUGUUUGAAGUUUUAAUUUCUUAAUAAAUUCUGAAAGACUGUAAUCCUAUAA